UGCUGCGGCAGAGAGAGCGGCGCGGCGGCGGCGGCGGGCGGCGGCGUGGCGCGGCGGCGUGAGGGCGCGCGCGGUCGAUGAGCCCGACGCAGAGGGCAGCACGGAGCCGCGGGGGGCGCUCCUCGCCCUGCGCGCCCCCCGCCCGCCCCGCCCGCUCCCAGCGCACGAAGCCGCGCGCUCACUAAUGCGUCAUACCGCCAACGGACACGACGCGCUCGCGAGCUGCCCCGCGACCCUCAGCAUCGCGCGCCAUGUGAACUUCAGUGUCAAAAAAGUGGAGCGAACGCACACCCCCUGAACUAUAAGUGCGGCUCUCGGACAUAAUCUGCCUAGGACAGUGACGGUGCAACCUGUGACCAGAGACUUAGUGGUGGUACAUAUCACGACGCACGUGUUCGCGACCCAUGAUGAUGACCAAAAAAGCAAUCCGUUGGUUGGCGGCGUGGCAUCAGCGGUGGCUGCAAAUCACUUGAAGGAAGAUACCCGUUGGUGCCUGUUGGCAGGUACUUACUUGGAAGAUUCAGAAAAGAUGCAGUUCAUCCAAAUACAAUCUCUAAGAUAAUGUCGGGUUCAAAACAAACUAGGCAGACAUCUCUUAUCCAAGAAGUCCCUAACGGAUGAAGUCGUGGUUUUCUACCUACCCGCAAACCCUUCAAGCGACAGCAGCGCCUGGCCUGAGGAUGUGGACUGGAGGGGUCACGGCACGCUGGUGAUGCAUCUCCAACUGUCAGAUCGUGGGUCAGCCAGGAGCGAUGUCACAGGAAACAAUCAACAAUGAUCUCAGAAUGCAAGAGAUAAAUUAUAUAAUUUAUUAAAUAUUUUGUGACGAAAUAAAUUUUCUUAUAAAUUUUAUAAUAAA